rnacentral:rRNA from 1 species
UACGGAGGGUGCAAGCGUUAUCCGGAUUCACUGGGUUUAAAGGGUGCGUAGGUGGGAAUGUAAGUCAGUGGUGAAAUCUCCGAGCUUAACUUGGAAACUGCCAUUGAUACUAUCAGUCUUGAAUAUUGUGGAGGUCAGCGGAAUAUGUCAUGUAGCGGUGAAAUGCUUAGAUAUGACAUAGAACACCAAUUGCGAAGGCAGCUGGCUACGCAUAUAUUGACACUGAGGCACGAAAGCGUGGGGAUCAAACAGG